rnacentral:rRNA from 1 species
CUACGGGGGGCUGCAGUGGGGAAUAUUGCACAAUGGAGGAAACUCUGAUGCAGCAAUGCCGCGUGGAGGAUGACACUUUUCGGAGCGUAAACUCCUUUUAUAUAGGAAGAAGAUGACGGUACUAUAUGAAUAAGCGCCGGCUAACUCCGUGCCAGCAGCCGCGGUAAUACGGAGGGCGCAAGCGUUACUCGGAAUCACUGGGCGUAAAGAGCGUGUAGGCGGAUUAAAAAGUCAGAAGUGAAACCCUAUAGCUUAACUAUAAAACUGCUUCUGAAACUCUUAAUCUAGAAUAUGGGAGAGGUAGAUGGAAUUUCUGGUGUAGGGGUAAAAUCCGUAGAGAUCAGAAGGAAUACCGAUUGCGAAGGCGAUCUACUAGAACAUUAUUGACGCUGAGACGCGAAAGCGUGGGGAGCAAACAGGAUUAGAUACCCGGGUAGUC